CUUUACUUCAGGAGUAUUGGCUUCAAAAGGACUUACUCCCUGCAGUCAUCGUUUCCCGCGGCAAUGCCAGCAGGAAAAAGGCUGGGAACGUGGAUCCCGCUCAAAAAAGAAAUACAAACGCAACGUUUUAUUUCUAAACUUAUUUCCUCUCGCAAUCAGAGUUCAGAUGCAUUUCCUCACGUUCUUCUACCGCUCUAUGAAAUCAGGCGAAUGUGGGGAGAUAGCAAGGUGGUUGAAUGAAACUGAUAGCUUCAGAUGUAAAAGAAGGUGAUUUUUCUCUCCCUGCACAAUUUGGAUGCCUCCUAAACACAUGAUAUGGACACACAAGAGCCCAACAACAAAACCUGCCAGAACCAGUUAUCCCAGUACGCCUCUGAGAUAAUUGGGAACAGCCAGCCCCACAGGACUCAUCUACUCCGGGCGAGCCUUCUGCCAGUUGCAGACUCUCAUUCUGAAGAUUGCUGACAGGUAUGUGGCAUUUUGAAGAAACAUGGAGCAGAAGUAAUAUCAACCAUUAGUCAAGAAGAAAACAUAGUGCCAUUAAGAAUCUGGCAAUUCUACCUGAAAGCUUCUGGUGGAAGAUAUUUUCUUUACUAGUGCAGGAUUUGUUAUCUAAGUUUUGUUUUUCUAUUAUUUUAUUUGGUUACAGGUGUAGUCCUAUGCAUACUUACCUAGGGGUAAGCUCUACUGAGCAUAGCAGAACUGAUUCCUUAGCAAACACACAUAGGAUUGUGAUGCAAAUUUAAGAAAUGGGGCUGCACUCAUGCAGGGUGGUGAAAAUGGGAGUUAUCCCUUUUGUGUGUGUGAAUUGAUGGACAUAAAUCCAGCAGAUGCAGCUUUUCCUGGCAGAUAGGCAGUGAUUGGGGGGGGAAUUGGAUUUGUCCCAGCCAUUAAUGUCACAAAGUCAUUAGCAAGCAAGAAAGGAAGAAAACAAAAGGCUGCCCUGAAGAUAGCAUACUUGGAUAUAUGCCAAUGGACAGCAUGAUAGACAAGAAUGCUAAACCAAACAAUUAAUAAGGAGGCCUGCUUAGAUUUCUUUCAACAAAAUUCACUGAGAAUGUACCAGUGUGUACAUAAAUACAUUUAGACUAUAAAGAAUUGUUUGGCACACCAAUGUUAAAUGAGUGGGCCUUCACAUUUAUAUAGCUGCAAAAAUACCUUUAGGAACUCUUAGAAAUGUCACAUUGGAUGGAUAGGGUAAGGUGAAUAGUAGUGAUGCAGGACAUUGAAUAGUGGACAUUGAAAGUUGUAUGCUAGGCUCUGCUAUAGUGCUUGAUGCUACCCAAGUAUGUUGACUUUGAGAAUGGAGCUGGCUAGGUUAAAAGUAGCUCAAGAGAGCUUUGCAUUUUGCUUUAAAACCUGAGUGGCUUCUUUCCUUUCACCAUGAUGAGCCACUGGUGAAGAGACUUCAUUCCUCUUCUCGUUUGAUGUGGAAGGAAAAGGAAUGCAAAUAUUGCAUCAGAAUGCUGCAGUGGAAGAGUAACAACUGGGCCAACUCAGUCCUGGCUACUUGCUUCCCCAAUGGCACGCUGACUUGGCUUUUUUUCUGACAGUUUGCUUCCACCAACCAUUAAGCAAAAUGAUGAAAGUGUGCAGUUGACUUUUAUACAUGUAAUUAGCAUGCUUGGCUUAUACGAAGCUAGGCUUCAAGUUGAUCAUAACUGCAGAGAAAAGCUAAUGCUUGUCCUGUGCAUCUUACUUAACAGUUAUCCUAUUCAUUUCAGUAGAGAUUAUUUCCAAAUAAGGUGUUUUAGGUUCAAAGCAUGGAAUGCUCAAGAGAGAUGGAAGAUGUUAAGAAUGGUGCUGAGUCCAACAGGGAGGCAGGCAGAUAGACACUGCAAAUGCAGAAUCAGCUGUAAAAAUAAAAGAAAUAUUCAUUAAUUCAUUUUUAUAGGUAAAGAGUAUUGAAUGUCAUCUUCGUUUGAACAGAAUAUUUAUUUUGUCUUGUAAAACAAAAACAAACAGCCUCUUGUAAUGAAUGCGUAGGAAUGAUUUGUCUUCAGAAUUUGGAUAGGAACAUAUUAACAAAGUUAUUUUCCCCAGCCAUGGAAGUUUCCAGGCAGUUAAGAACACAGAGCUGAAAGUUUGCAUAAGCAUGGUUUUCAUUUAUCUGUCUCCCCUCCCUCCAGGUUUGCAUGAUCCUUAGCAAAGCAAGAGAGUAAAACAAAAACAAAUUGAGAUCAAAUAUAAUUAGGAAGGCAAGGGCUCUCAUGUUGUUUUGGGGGUCAGGCUGUAUUUAUUUUGUAAUAAUGAGCUGUUAAAAGUUUCCACUUUGAAGUGCAAUUAACUAUCAUUUCACCUGUCCACAACUGGGAGAGGGAGGAAUUCAGAGACCACAUAAAUGACAAAAGAAGAGCCUUGCUGGAUAGGAGCAAAGGUCCCUCUAGUUCAGCAUUCUUGUUCCCAAACACAUCCCUCUGGUUGGGCUCAGAAGCAAUAGCCCUCUCCCAGUGUUGCUGCCAAGCAACUGAUAUUUAAUGAUAUACCGUCUUCAAUAUAUAGUCAUCAUGGCUAAUAGCCAUUGAUAGACUUAUCCUACAUAAAUUCAGGCACUCUUGGAUGAAACUGAUUUUCUGGAUCUAUUUAAAUUGGAUUCAGGUCUGGUUUUGAUACUAAGGUAGCCAGGUCAGAAGCAUCCCAAAACCUGAGGCUGGCCCUAGUGAUAUCAUGGAGGUGGGCCUGAGUGAUGUCAUGGGGCGGGCCCGAGUGAUGUCAUGGGGCGGGCCCGAGUGAUGUCAUGGGGCGGGCCCGAGUGAUGUCAUUAAGCAUGAUACAUUAAGCAUCAAUCACAAUUGCUUGGAGCAUACAAUUCAAAAAAAAUUCUGAUUGCAAAUUAAAAUAGAAAUCUUAGCUAAAAGAUGGAGUCUGGGUAGGGAAGAUUUAAUCUAGCCUACUUGCUAGAAGGGUUUAAGUGACUUCAGGCCAGGCCAGUCACCAGAAGGCCACUGUAGGGACAAAGGAGCCUAGUGUUGUGGAGAUGUUAGAUGGGAGCAUUCGGGAGUAAAGAUGGAUGCUCCUGAAGGCUACAAUUCUAAACACACUUACUAAGGGAUUAAGCCCCAUAAAACUCAACAGGACUGACUUCUGAGUAGAUAUAGUUUGGAUUGUGCUGUUGGUAAAGCUUGACUAGGGUUCCUCUGCAAAGGCAUCCAUAUCCAAGCAGGGUUGGCAACCCCCUGCCUGGAAUACCCUGCCCUUAUCUUUUAAUGUGGCUGCUCCAAACAUCUUUACAGAUUUGACCCUUCACUUUAGAAAGAGGUCUGAGAAAUGCGUAAGAGUAAGAAGUAUCUUUUAAAAUUGUUCUUUUCAAUUCACUCUUGAAUGCACAUCAUACCUAGGGCAGAUCCACACCAUUCAUUUAAAGCACAUUCAACACCCAUUUCAAGGGCAUGAAUCUCACCACACAAUCAUGGGAACUGCAGUUUGUUAAGAGUGGUGAGAACUAUAACUGUGAGGGGAAAAUGACACUUCCCAGGAUUCUUUAAGGGAAGUCGUGUGCUUUCAUGUGAGUUGGAUGUGCUUUAAACGUAUAAUGUGAAUCCACUUAAUAAAUUUUGCCUGCAUGUAAAUUGUUUUAAUUAAUUUUUCAAAAUGGAAAUGAGCUAUAAACUGUAGUGGGUGACCAUGGGCUACUCACCUGUCCCUCAGGAUGAAAACAACGGAGAACCAUGACCACCCCAAGGCAUACUUAAAAUGUAGAGGAAGUAUUGUACAACCAUAGUAUGAAAACGGAUACUUAUUGGGACACAAUAUGACAAAAUAUUUAUAUAAGCAUGACUAUCAAAUAUGUUCAUUAUUUACACAACCUGUAAAGAUAUUUAUAGUGCAAUCCUAUGUUUGUUUACUCAGAAGCAAGUCCUAAUAUAUUCAAUGGGGCUUGCUCAACCAGGGAAAACUGUACCCUCAAGUGAUAAGGAACUUGUUCUUUUAACAAGCCUUUUAAGUUGAGACCUUAUCCCAGUCAAAAUGUGUUUAAAGAUGUUUUAUUUUAAUAUAUUUUAAAGUCUGUUUUUCUGAUUUUUAAAGUGUUUUUAGUGCUUUUGUUUGCCGCCCUGGGCUCCUACUGGGAGGAAGGGCGGGAUGUUAAUCAAAUAAUAAAUAAACAAACUUCAUUCACCCAACCCAAAAUAUGGAAUCAUGCCACUUUAAGCUGUUUUGCAAUUGUGUAUACUUGUUUUAUGGUUAUUGGUUUUUAAAGGGAUUUAUUU